AUUGAACGCUAGCGGGAUGCCUUACACAUGCAAGUCGAACGGAGUGGCGAACGGGCGAGUAAUGAAUCGGUACGUGACCAGUAGAGGGGGAUAACUACGCGAAAGCGUAGCUAAUACCGCAUACUAUUGGAGCGGCCGAUAUCGGAUUAGCUAGAUGGUGGGGUAACGGCUCACCAAGGCGACGAUCCGUAGCUGGUUUGAGAGGACGAUCAGCCACACUGGGACUGAGAAACGGCCCAGACUCCUACGGGAGGCAGCAGUGGGGAAUUUUGGACAAUGGGCGAAACCCUGACCCAGCCAUGCCGCGUGUGUGAUGAAGGCCUUCGGGUUGUAAAGCACUGUUGGUAGGGAAGCGGUACCUGCAGAAUAAGCACCGGCUAACUACGUGCCAGCAGCCGCGGUAAUAC
rnacentral:rRNA from 1 species